CCAAGCCAUUAAAUUCUUUCCAGGCGAGAUAAGGGUCCCGCCUGUCCCACCCAGGGUGUGUCACGUGUAGGGGGGAGGUUCAGACGAACAGAAGCAGGAGAGCCUGGAAGGGGGAUUGAGCGAAGACGGAGCCCCUGUGCCCCUGGAGGCAUCUCUCAGUCGUCACAGCCCCGCUGAACCGUGAGUCAUGGGUGCAAAGCUCUCUGCCAAGAACAAGUUUUAGGAUUCUCUCUGCAGACUCCGUGCCCUUCCCAGACCUGAGAGUCCUGACUCUGCUUCAUUUCAGCACUUCCUAAAGGCUCCAGACCCCCAGAACUCCCUCCCGGGCCUUGCAGUCCACGUGCUGCCACCUGGGGAGUCCCCACCUGGGUGCUCAAAGAAGCUCCCUAGGGCACCUUCCUGGAGCUCCGGCUCAGCGGUUCCAGCCAGAGCGCUUGGGGUUCCACCAGCACUUUCCUCCUGAGGUUCAGCUGGCCACCAGCUCCAGCAACUCCAGGGCCCAGAGCCCCGGCUCACCGAUAACCACCUCCACCUUGCAGGGGCUCACCGAGCCGCCACCCGACCGUCGAUCUGGGCUGCGACAGUGAGAAGGAGGGAGUCUGCAGCGAGCAGGGGGAGGAGAAGGGGAGGACCAGCAUGAGCAAAUUCCUGGAGAAAUGACGGAUGAGGCUUGGGCACUGGCUGGACAAGGGCUUGGCUGAAGACCAGGACAUAGGAGACUUGGGAAAGAAGGGGCUGAAAAGGAGACUUUGGCCAGAUGAGAAAUAUCCAGGCUGAGGGAGACCCCAUCCCAGGCUUCACACGGAGGAUAAAGUUCUUGCCACCCAGCUACAAUCCUCACCAUUGAGGAGUAGCUUGGUCAAGUCACAGGUCAUGGGUGAAAGGGACGGGCAGGAGGCUGUGUGUGCCCGAUUCUGCCGCUUGUG